rnacentral:misc_RNA from 1 species
AACGGUCUAUACCUGCGGUACCUGCGGAGGGAUCAUUAUCAAUUUACAGCGGACUUCGGUCCUGUCUGCACCCUUGUCUUUUGCGUACUAUAUGUUUCCUCGGUGGGCCUGCCUGCCGAUAGGACACUUAUAAACUCUUUUGUAAUUGCAAUCAGCGUCAGAAAACUAUAAUAGUUACAACUUUUAACAACGGAUCUCU